rnacentral:lncRNA from 1 species
AAAUGGGUAGCUUAUGCAUCAUAAAAAAUAUUUUAGAGCCUUGAAGUUGUGUGUUCGUAUGAAUGAAGCAAAAUAUGCUUUAGAAGCUUUAAAUAUCGGCUACAAAAAUAAUAGAGAGAGAAGAUGAAGGUCUGGCACACAGUAGCAAUUAUAUAUCAGUAAGUAGGUCGCUGACAUAGUAGCAAUUUAAUGCUAUUUAUUUCUGUCAUGUGUUUAGCAGAUUGCAAACUCUUUCUAGCGAAACGCAUAAAUUGGUGUAGUUCGUGUAUCCAAAGCAGUUAGAGUUCGACAGAAGAAACCGGCAAAGGGGAAUUAUCUCAUCCUCGAUAUCACGAGUCCACAGCGACCACUCCAUCUGCACAGCAGAGAUGGGAUGCACAGCAUGCGCACGCCUUAUCGUGUCGGGACUUGCUUCGCACAGGCCGAUGUACUUGAUCUUCCCUUCCUCCACUAAUUUCUUCAGUUCAUGCAUCUGCCUCGGCGAACAAGGUAAUCAAUCAGCUUGAUGAUGACUAAGAAGAGUUUACGAGGUAAAGAUGAAGUCAGCAGUUAAUACUCACAGUAUGCUCUAUCGGCACUGUUGUGUCCACUCGGUGAGGAAAGUACAGAUCGAUGUAAUCAACACCGAGGCGUUGGAGACUGCCUUCACAGCAUUUGCGAGCAUAUUCCGGCAAGCCAUUGAUCAGCAGCCGGCCGUCCUCGAAACCAGCAAUGCCGAACUUGCUUGCUAU